AAAACCCUAUCUUUAUUGCUUCUUAACUAUAUAUCCCUCUUGUUAGCAUUCGUUAAUGUUCUGUCACGGUCUGUGCACAUUUAACCCCACGUAACCUAUAAUUUUUUUUUCUAAACUCAAUAUUAUCCUCAUCCGCUGAACCCUCACUCUCUCUCUCCAUUCUCACACCUCCCCCUUCACCUUUGGUUCUCUCUCCCCUUCUUUCUCCGUUUGGUAUCAAUGGUUUCAGCAUAUUCAUAUAUAUACUAAGGGGUUAGAAAUCCGGCCAUGAAGAAGAAGAAAAAUAAGUGGAAGGAGAGAAAGAGAGGAAGAGAGAGAAUAGAUCGGAGAGAGAACUUGCAGUCGUCACCCCUAUUCUCGUCGCAAGAUUAAAGAAAUGAAUAGUGCAGACUUGUACUGCAGUUGCUCAAUAGUCGCCGCCCCUGUCUUUGGUCUCGGUGUUCGACUGAAAAUUGCUCUUCUCAUUCUCAUGUGCAUGCUCCAUAAUGUUCAGAUCCGCCGCUGCAAUGAGUUGCAACGGCGACAGCGAUGAGGACGCGGAGGAGAUAAGAAGGAGAAGAAAAAAAAAAGAAGAAGAGAAACUGAUUCGAGUAGAGGUCGACGAUAAAAGGUAUUGUAACAGUCGAUUUCGAAUGAUUUUAUUGGGAUCUGAAUAAGAGGGGAAAAAGGAAUGGACACAGAGAGAGAAAUGGGAGAGAAUGGCCAGAGGGGUGCCGCUGGUUCACCGCCGCUCCUCUAUUUUCGUUUGAAGAGGGGUCAUCGCCGCCGCCGCUGCAACUCAUUGUAGCGGCGGAUCUAAACAUGCAAACCGCAGAUUCUCCGACAAGCAGAACUCGAGUUUAGAAAUUAACUUCCUCUCACUAAACUAUCUGUUAUAUCCCGGUCGUCAUUGCUACUCGAAGCUAGUAGUUGAUGAUUGGAACUAAUCGAAAUCUCUCCCUUGCUCCUCUAUUCCCGUGUUGGCAUUAAUUCUCAGUCUUAGGCCAUAUAAGGUUCGUCUCAGGCCAGAUAAGGUAAGUUUACUCUCGUUACUAGCUUGGCGUUCAUCAGAUCCACACCCGUGGUUCAUAGCAUUCAACUCUCAGAAGGCAUCUCCUUUGCUUUAUUUGCCAUCAAACCCGUACAGACCAAGGGGUUUGUCAUUGUUGUCGUUUCAUCCCUUUGCUUUCUCUCAUUGUUGCCGAUGUUAUCAAAGGGGUUUUUUAGGUGCAAAAAUGAUAGGGAUGUAAGUAUUGAGAUCGCCUACAGAACCAUUGAGUUCAAUGUUUCUUUC